rnacentral:rRNA from 1 species
GCAGUAGCCGCGGGAAUACGUAGGUGGCAAGCGUUGUCCGGAAUUAUUGGGCGUAAAGGGCUCGCAGGCGGUUUCUUAAGUCUGAUGUGAAAGCCCCCGGCUCAACCGGGGAGGGUCAUUGGAAACUGGGAAACUUGAGUGCAGAAGAGGAGAGUGGAAUUCCACGUGUAGCGGUGAGAUGCGUAGAGAUGUGGAGGAACACCAGUGGCGAAGGCGACUCUCUGGUCUGUAACUGACGCUGAGGAGCGAAAGCGUGGGGAGCGAACAGGAUUAGAUACCCCAGUAGUCUCUGUCUCUUAUAU